CUCCUACGGGAGGCAGCAGUCGAGAAUCAUUCACAAUGGGGGAAACCCUGAUGGUGCGACGCCGCGUGGGGGAAUGAAGGUCUUCGGAUUGUAAACCCCUGUCAUGUGGGAGCAAAUUAAAAAGAUAGUACCACAAGAGGAAGAGACGGCUAACUCUGUGCCAGCAGCCGCGGUAAUACAGAGGUCUCAAGCGUUGUUCGGAAUCACUGGGCGUAAAGCGUGCGUAGGCUGUUUCGUAAGUCGUGUGUGAAAGGCGCGGGCUCAACCCGCGGACGGCACAUGAUACUGCGAGACUAGAGUAAUGGAGGGGGAACCGGAAUUCUCGGUGUAGCAGUGAAAUGCGUAGAUAUCGAGAGGAACACUCGUGGCGAAGGCGGGUUCCUGGACAUUAACUGACGCUGAGGCACGAAGGCCAGGGGAGCGAAAGGGAUUAGAUACCCCUGUAGUCCUGGCAGUAAACGGUGCACGCUUGGUGUGCGGGGAAUCGACCCCCUGCGUGCCGGAGCUAACGCGUUAAGCGUGCCGCCUGGGGAGUACGGUCGCAAGAUUAAAACUCAAAGAAAUUGACGGGGACCCGCACAAGCGGUGGAGUAUGUGGCUUAAUUCGAUGCAACGCGAAGAACCUUACCUGGGCUUGACAUGUAAUGAACAACAUGUGAAAGCAUGCGACUCUUCGGAGGCGUUACACAGGUGCUGCAUGGCCGUCGUCAGCUCGUGUCGUGAGAUGUUUGGUUAAGUCCAGCAACGAGCGCAACCCCUGUUGCCAGUUACCAGCACGUGAAGGUGGGGACUCUGGCGAGACUGCCCAGAUCAACUGGGAGGAAGGUGGGGACGACGUCAGGUCAGUAUGGCCCUUAUGCCCAGGGCUGCACACGUACUACAAUGCCCAGUACAGAGGGGGGGUCGAAGCCGCGAGGCGGAGGAAAUCCUAAAAACUGGGCCCAGUUCGGACUGUAGGCUGCAACCCGCCUACACGAAGCCGGAAUCGCUAGUAAUGGCGCAUCAGGCUACGGCGCCGUGAAUACGUUCCCGGGUCUUUACACACCGC
rnacentral:rRNA from 1 species